rnacentral:rRNA from 1 species
UACGUAGGGUGCAAGCGUUGUCCGGAAUUAUUGGGCGUAAAGAGCUCGUAGGCGGUCUGUCACGUCGGCUGUGAAAUCCCGAGGCUCAACCUCGAGACGUCGGUUGAAACCACCUGGCUAGAGUCCGGAAGAGGAGAGUGGAAUUCCCGGUGUAGCGGUGAAAUGCGCAGAUAUCGGGAAGAACACCCGUGGCGAAGGCGGCUCUCUGGGACGGUACUGACGCUGAGGAGCGAAAGCGUGGGGAGCAAACAGG